GGGUUGGUAGCUCAGUUGGUUAGAGCCCUCCGCUCAUAACGGAGUGGUCGCGAGUUCGAGUCUCGCCCAACCCACCA
rnacentral:tRNA from 1 species